GCGCUGGUGGUUCAGUGGUAGAAUUCUCGCCUGCCACGCGGGAGACCGGGGUUCGAUUCCCCGCAGCGCA
rnacentral:tRNA from 1 species